AAGUCGUAACAAGGUUUCCGUAGGUGAACCUGCGGAAGGAUCAUUACAUACAGUAGAUUUCUACUGGUCGGGGGGGUGGAAAGUACCGGUUUCAUUGCUGGACCACGAGUAAGCCCCCUGUCUGCACCCUUGUCUUUUGCGCACCUAUGUUUCCUCGGUAGGCUUGCCUGCCGGUGGACACCCUAAACCUUUUAAUCUUCAAUCGCGUCUGAACAAAAUAAUAAUUACAA
rnacentral:misc_RNA from 1 species